ACUUCCUUGGCAGAAUAGUGCGUUAAAUUUAGAAUUUAAAAUAUGUAAAUAAGUUUAUAGGUAGUA
rnacentral:tRNA from 1 species